UCUUUAUCCUAAGUGGCAACAUAUGACAAUAAUAUAUAACAUUACAUGAAGUAUCCAAAUAACAUUAACUUCAAUAACAUUACAUGAAGUAUUUAAAGCCACGCCAAACCGAAUUAAAUUCGACAUAUGCAAAAUGCGACGUUCGAAACAGCCCAGCGGGCAAAAUGACGUUUAUCCAACGUUGAAUCAACGUUGGAAAUGACCUUCCAGACGUUGGAUAAACGUUGAAAAAGGGUUGACUAUGCAAAUUGUAAAUUAGGUUGCCAAUCUCGUCAACCAUAAUUCAACGUUGAAUCCACGUUAAAACAACGUUGAGAUUGGUUCACAAAUAGACGUCGUACAUUUAACCAUGAAUGAACGUUAAUUCAACGUCUGUUGGCUGCUGUUGGACUAACGUUUGUAAAACAACGUCACAGCAACGUAGAUAUUAGGUUGUCGACGUCGCAACCUUUUUUCUACCAAAUUUCAACGUUGAAACAACGUCGUUGGCCCGGUGGGAGGCUUCAGUCUAUUUUCGGGCGAAUUUCAGUGUAUUUCUGUAUGAAUUUCAGUUUUAUUGCUUUUGCCACGAAUUUCAUUCGAAUAUUUUAAAACUAAAGGAUAUAUUUUUGUCUAUAUAAAUAAGCGGCGCCAUGAAACAAUUCAAUCUUGACUAUAUAGAGCCGAUUGCACUCAUUCCCCAGGG